rnacentral:rRNA from 1 species
CCUACGGGCGGCUGCAGUCGAGAAUAAUGCACAAUGGGGGAAAGCCUGAAGGAGCGACGCCGCGUGGGGGAAUGAAGGUCUUCGGAUUGUAAACUCCUGUCAUGCGGGAGCAAAUUAAAAAGAUAGUACCACAAGAGGAAGAGACGGCUAACUCUGCGCCAGCAGCCGCGGUAAUACAGAGGUCUCAAGCGUUGUUCGGAAUGACUGGGCGUAAAGCGUGCGUAGGCUGUUUCGUAAGUCGUGUGUGAAAGGCGCGGGCUCAACCCGCGAACGGCACAUGAUAAUGCGAGACUAGAGUAAUGGAGGGGGAACCGGAAUUCUCGGUGUAGCAGUGAAAUGCGUAGAUAUCGAGAGGAACACUCGUGGCGAAGGCGGGUUCCUGACCAUUAACUGACGCUGAGGCACGAAGGCCAGGGGAGCGAAAGGGAUUAGAUACCCCUGUAGUC